AUGUUUGCAGAAGAAUGUACAAUUUAAAUUUUACAGUACCACAAUGUCUUUAAUAUCAUUAUUAUUACAUUUUAGUGGAGUCAUCCAAUUAGCAAAUUUUAUACAAUUUUAUCAUAUCGUACGAUAUCAUAUGUAUGAUCCCUGUGUUAACUUUAGUUAACAUUUUAACCCUGCAAGAGUAAGAUCAGCUAUAUCUUAAUUUACGACUUAAAAUAAAUAAUUUAUUUUGGGCAUUUAGAAAUACUGCAGAAAUAUAUUAAAAUGACUUCAGCAAAGAUCGAAUUUGCGGUUAACAUGACUUGUCAAAACUGCGUUGAGACCGUACGCAAAUCGUUAACCGGUGUAAAUGGAAUUGAUAAUAUUGAUAUAUCAUUGGAAAAAGGAAAUGUUGUUGUUGAAACAAGUUUACCAUAUUCUGUAAUUCAAGAGAAAAUCGAAAAGUCUGGAAAGAAAGCAGUUUUAAAAGGAUAUGGAGAUAAUUCUAGCGCAGUUGCAAUGUUAGGAGGAAACUCAGGUUAUAGUAUAGGAAACAAAAUAAUGGGAGUAAUUAGAUUUGCACAAACUCCUGAUGGAUGCAUAAUUGAUGGAACAAUUGAUGGGUUAGCACCUGGUGAACAUGGCAUACAUGUACAUGAAUGUGGUGAUAUCUCCAGAGGUUGUGAUAAUGUUGGAGAACAUUUUAAUCCAAAUAAUGCAGCACAUGGAGGUCCUGAGGAUAACGUACUUAAUAGACAUGUUGGCGAUCUUGGAAAUAUAGUAGUAAAUGAUACAGGUAGAGCUACUUUUAGAAAAGUAGAUAAGCUGAUAAAAGUACCUGAUAUUAUUGGAAGAUCAUUAGUUGUAACAGAAAAAGCAGAUGAUUUAGGUAAAGGUGGUAGUCCAACAUCUAAAAUAGAUGGAAAUAGUGGAAAUAGGUUAGCGUGCGGCAUUAUUGCUCGUUCGUCUGGUUUGUUCCAAAAUACAAAAAAGAUCUGCGCAUGUGACGGACUUACGCUGUGGGACGAAAGAGAUAAAGCACUUUUAAAUAAACAGGAACUUUCCACUAAAUCCGAAAUAAGUAAUACCUGUACAGUAUGCUAAUUCUUUUAAUAUUUGUAUAAAAGAAUAACAGACCCCAGAAUGUAGCUACACUUAUUAAAAUUCAGCCUUUGUUUUGCAUCAUGUUUUCUUUAAAUCGAAGUUAUAAGCACCACUCGAAGAUGGCAGAAAUAGUUUCAUGAGAUGAAACAUGCAAGUCAUUCCAAUAACUUAUUGUACAUAUAAUACAAAGUGUCUGUAUAAUAUAAUAGGAACGAAUUUAUAUUUUUA